CAGGCUGAUGGUUUGUCGCUCUCGGCUCUUGGUGCUGAUGUUCUGCCGGUAUGAUCUACAGAGACUAUACCAGCUUGCUCUUCAAGUCCAGCAGUGUUUGGAAACUCCCCGGUGUUGACAAAUACAUCAGCUAAACAGUUUCACGAAGUUUUGGAAACCGUCCUCUCCAAAGAAGUCAAAGGAGCCCUGGGAUGUGCCAAGGUGGAUGAGCAGGAGGACGAGCAGGACGACGGCCAGAAGUGGAAUCAGUAGGUUCCAGCCAGCUGCCAGGAUGUUGUACCACUUGGCCUUGUCUGAACACUCCUGGGCCAGCUGCAGGUUGCCCUGAGUCUUCUGGUCCCUUGCCUACACAGUUGCAUAAACAAACACUCACGUUAUUGCAUGAAAUUACAGAAAUGAAGAAUC